AGGAUUAACGCUGGCGGCGUGCCUGACACAUGCAAGUCGAACGAGGCCGCAAGGCCGAGUGGCGGACGGGUGAGUAACACGUGACCAACCAACCUCGAAGUUGGGAAUAGCUCUGCGAAAGUAGGGGUAAUACCGAAUGUGGCCCAGGGCGGGCAUCCGCCUUGGUCUAAAGAUUCAUCGCUUCGAGACGGGGUCGCGGCCUAUUAGCUUGUUGGUGAGGUAACGGCUCACCAAGGCGAUGAUGGGUAGCUGGUCUGAGAGGACGACCAGCCACACUGGGACUGAGACACGGCCCAGACUCCUACGGGAGGCAGCAGUGAGGAAUCUUCCGCAAUGGGCGAAAGCCUGACGCAGCGACGCCGCGUGCGGGAUGAAGGCCUUCGGGUUGUAAACCGCUUUCAGCAGGGACGAAAUUGACGGUACCUGCAGAAGAAGGCCCGGCCAACUACGUGCCAGCAGCCGC
rnacentral:rRNA from 1 species